AGCCCUUUUCCCUUUCUGCCCUCUGCCAUGUGAGGUCACAGUGUUCCUCCCUCCUGAGGAUGCAGUGUUCAUGAAAGCAAACACUGGGCCCUCACCAGGCAACAAACCUGCUGGUGCCUUCAUCUUGGACUUCCCAGCCUUCGGAACUGUUAAGAAGCUCCACUGCGCUUUGUCCAUUGCAAGUUGAGAAGUGAGGCCCCAGCUGUCACAUACAUAGAGACGGGGUUUCUCCAUGUUGAGGCUGGUCUCAAACUCCUGACCUCAGGUGAUUCACCCGCCUCGGCCUCCCAAACUGCUGGGAUUAUAGGCAUAAGCCACCGCGCCCGGCCUUAGGCUCCAUCACAAGAGGGAGCCCCAUUGCUAGUCCCCAUCCUCAAAGCCUCUGCGUGAUGUUGUCUACUGUUACUCUUCACUACCCUGUGGGAGCCAAAGCCCUGGACAUAAGAACAGAAGGCAAGCAGUGGUGGCUGAGAGGAAGAACUGACACCUUUGUGCUAUCAGAGCACUUUGCAGAGGAGCUGUUAGUGGCCCUGUAGGAGUCUGCUGGCCAUACAUCUGGGUGUCAAAUCAAGAGAGCAUGAGAAGUUGGACAGGAAAGGUCCAAGGCAAAAUGGUUACUAAAGGCCAUCCCUGAUCCUGACCCUAAAAGAAGAAAAGGCCCUUUGCUCUUGGCAUGCUUUUGCAGGAGUGUCUCAGUCUGUUUGGGCUGCUAUAACAUUGACUGGGUGAUCUGCCUGCCUGGCCUCCCAAAGUGCUGGGGUUACAGGUGUGAGCCGCUGCACCAGGCCUUGAGGUCAGGAGUUCGAGACCAGCCUGGCCAACAUGGUGAAACCUGUCUUUACUAAAAAUACAGAAAUUAGCCAGGCAUGGAGGCGCAUGCCUGUAAUCCCAGCUACUGGGGAGGCUGAGGCAGGAGAAUCGCUUGAACCCAGAAGGUGGAGGUUGCGGUGAGCCCAGAUAGUGCCAUUGCACUCUAGCCUGGCCAACAAGAGUGAAACUCUGUCUCAAAAAAUAAAUAAACAAACAAACAAACAACAACGAUGUGUUUCUUCAUGGUUCUGGAGGCUGGGAAGUCUUUGAUCAAGACGCCAGCAGAUGUGGUGUCUAUGGAGAGCCUGUGUUCUGGUUAGUGAGCAAUACCUUCUCUCCGUGUUCUCACGUGGUAGAAGGGGAGAGGCAGCCCUCUGGGGCCUCUUUCAUGAGGGCACUAAUUCCAUUCAUGAGGGCUCCCCUCUCAUGACCUAAUCACUUCCCAAUGGGCCCACCUGCUAAUACCAUCCAUCGCCUUGAGGAUUAG
rnacentral:lncRNA from 1 species